rnacentral:rRNA from 1 species
CCUACGGGAGGCAGCAGUAGGGAAUAUUCCACAAUGGGCGCAAGCCUGAUGGAGCCAAGUAGCGUGAGUGAAGAAGGUCCUCGGAUCGUUAAACCUCGUUGUUAGAGAAGUAAGUGCGUGAGAGUAACUGUUCUCGUAUCGACGGUAUCUAUCAAGAUAGCCACGGCUAACUCCGUGCCAGCAGCUGCGGUAAUACGUCGGUGGCAAGCGUUAUCCGGUUUUGUUGGGCGUAAAGGGAAAGCAGGUGGUCUUUUAAGUCUGAUGUGAAAGUUUUCGGCUUAACCGGAGUAGUGCAUUUGAAACUGGGAGUCUUGAGUGCAGAUGAGGUGGGUGGAACGCGAUGUGUAGCGGUGAAAUGCGUAGAUAUAAGGAAGAACACCGAUUGCGAAGGCAGCUCACUAGUCUGUAACUGACGUUGAUGUUCGAAAGUGUGGGUAGCAAACAGGAUUAGAUACCCGAGUAGUC